CCUACGGGGGGCUGCAGUGGGGAAUAUUGGACAAUGGGGGCAACCCUGAUCCAGCAAUGCCGCGUGAGUGAAGAAGGCCUUAGGGUUGUAAAGCUCUUUCGCUCGUGACGAUGAUGACGGUAACGAGAGAAGAAGCCCCGGCUAAUUCCGUGCCAGCAGCCGCGGUAAUACGGAAGGGGCUAGCGUUGUUCGGAUUUACUGGGCGUAAAGCGCAUGUAGGCGGCGGAUCAAGUGAGGCGUGAAAGGCCUGGGCUCAACCUGGGAACGGCGCUUCA
rnacentral:rRNA from 1 species